GGAGAAUCGGCUGCGGCCGACCGUCCGGCCCUUGGCUUCGGCCACUUCCUUGGAGGUGACCCUCCCGUCCGCGCUGCCCAAUUCGCGGGGCUUUCUGUGGGCGCGGGAGCAAAGGUCCGCCCCGGUCUUUGUCGGGGCCCAACCGGCCCUGCAGUCCACCGGCUCUCUCCAGGCCUGGGGGGCAAGUGUUUACCUAACCUCGUCUUCAGUCCCUGGGGAAGGAGACAGGAGGGACUGUGGAAGAAACUAUGGUGAUCAUAGGCACAUGGCCAAAGAUCUGUGCUUGCUUGAAGCCCUAAGUUGUGGACCUGAUUCAAGUUGUCAAGAAGAGGACAGACAGCUGGGACCCUGCUACUCAGAAGAUUGCAGGCCUUAAAGCCAAGACUCCAAGGGACAAGGUAAACCCACAAAUGGAGACUCAUGACUUAAAAUUUUAGGCAUGUAGGCCCACAGAAUACCUUGAACCUAAAAUAAUCUUUCUUCUUGGGAACCCAAACUGCAAAUGUGAGUCUCCAGAAGUAGCCCACAGGUGCACUACACUUUUUUAUUUGUCUUAAUAGAAGUGAAUGCCAUCUUUGUUAUUUUUAUUAUUUAUAAACAACCAAACUACUCUAAACAAAAUUACUCCUUCCAAUACUAUUCAUUAUAUAGGUAGGUUUAAUUUGAACUGUCUUUAUCUGAAGCUUCCUAUUGUUAGCAACUGGUUUGUCUUGAUUUGAAGAAUGUGAAUAGUUUAAAGUACUUAUCUUUUUGGCUUAUAGCCCUGAUGGUUGUUCAAAAGCUUUCUUAAAAUAAAACGAAAGGUAUCUAUAAACCUUUCAAAGUCCAGAAGUUUAACAAAUGAUCUUCUAAACCAAACCAAUUGGUGUAGUACAAACAGCAAUAGACAAAGUUGAUUGUCUUCCUCAUUUUGAACCAUCCUUUCAACCCUUGGUAUGAUCCAAAUUCAACUAAGUCAUAAUGAAUGAUUGGAUGAAUUGCCAUAAUUUGAUUGAUGUUAUUUUACUUAAAUUUCUAAAUCAAUAUUCACUAUUCAUCUUGUUUAUACUUCUUCCUACAUAUCUACCUACCUACAUACAUACAUCCUUUUCUGGUUCUGAUAUUAGGAAUAUAUUUGCCUUGUAAAAGGAAUCUUGUAGAGUGUUUUCUUUCUAAAUUUUAAAAAUAAUUUGUGUAGUCCUGGUACUAAUUGUUCUUUAAAAAUUGUAUAGAAUUCUCCUGUGAAUCCAUCAUAAUCAGGGGUUUUUCCCCACUUUUGGUAGUUAUUUUACCAAAUUUCCUUUUCUGAGAUUGGAUAAUUUAAGAUCUAUGUUUGGUCUGUUACUGUGGGUACUUCAUAUUUUUCAAGAUAUGUCUCUCUUUUGUGUUCUGUUUUAUUGGCACAUUACUGUGCAUAGUUAGCUCUGAUAAUUCUUUUUUUCUUCAGGUUUUACUAUGCUUUCACCUUGUUCACGUGCUACUUCAUUGACUUGAUUUUCUGCCAUCUUCUCUUUAGUCAGGUUGGCCAAAUGUUGUUAAUUGGUUUUUUUUUCAAAUAAAGUUUUUAGUUUUGUAUAUCAUUGCUGUUGUCUUUUUGGCUUCCAAUUUAUAUAUUCUCUAAUUUUCAAUGUCUCCUUUUUUGGGUUUAUUAGCUUUCUAAUUUCUAAAAGGCAUAU